AUACGGAGGGUCCAAGCGUUAUCCGGAAUCAUUGGGUUUAAAGGGUCCGCAGGCGGUCGAUUAAGUCAGAGGUGAAAGCCCAUCGCUCAACGAUGGAACUGCCUUUGAUACUGGUUGACUUGAGUUAUACGGAAGUAGAUAGAAUAAGUAGUGUAGCGGUGAAAUGCAUAGAUAUUACUUAGAAUACCGAUUGCGAAGGCAGUCUACUACGUAUAUACUGACGCUGAGGGACGAAAGCGUGGGGAGCGAACAGGAUUAGAAACCCCAGUAGUCC
rnacentral:rRNA from 1 species